CAGUGGGGAAUAUUGGACAAUGGGCGCAAGCCUGAUCCAGCCAUGCCGCGUGAGUGAUGAAGGCCCUAGGGUUGUAAAGCUCUUUCAACGGUGAAGAUAAUGACGGUAACCGUAGAAGAAGCCCCGGCUAACUUCGUGCCAGCAGCCGCGGUAAUACGAAGGGGGCUAGCGUUGUUCGGAAUUACUGGGCGUAAAGCGCACGUAGGCGGAUACUUAAGUCAGGGGUGAAAUCCCGGGGCUCAACCCCGGAACUGCCUUUGAUACUGGGUAUCUCGAGUCCGGAAGAGGUGAGUGGAAUUCCGAGUGUAGAGGUGAAAUUCGUAGAUAUUCGGAGGAACACCAGUGGCGAAGGCGGCUCACUGGUCCGGUACUGACGCUGAGGUGCGAAAGCGUGGGGAGCAAACAGGAUUAGA
rnacentral:rRNA from 1 species